CUUCACCGACCCCAGCAGCGCGGGCCGCUCGGCGGGCCGGUUCCGGCCGUACGUGGCGAGCAGCGCCUGCGCCUC
rfam:Streptomyces autolyticus strain CGMCC0516, complete genome.